rnacentral:rRNA from 1 species
CCUACGGGAGGCAGCAGUAAGGAAUAUUGGUCAAUGGGCGGAAGCCUGAACCAGCCAUGCCGCGUGCAGGAUGACUGCCCUAUGGGUUGUAAACUGCUUUUGUCCAGGAAUAACCGCAGGUACGUGUACCUGUCUGAAUGUACUGGAAGAAUAAGGAUCGGCUAACUCCGUGCCAGCAGCCGCGGUAAUA